rnacentral:rRNA from 1 species
AGCCGCCGCGGUAAUACCUGCAGCCCAAGUGGUGGUCGAUUUUAUUGAGUCUAAAACGUUCGUAGCCGGUUCGGUAAAUCUUUGGGUAAAUCGGGGGGCUUAACCUCCCGACUUCCGAGGAGACUGCCGAACUUGGGACCGGGAGAGGCUAGAGGUACUUCUGGGGUAGGGGUAAAAAUCCUGUAAUCCUAGAAGGACCACCGGUGGCGAAGGCGUCUAGCUAGAACGGAUCCGACAGUGAGGGACGAAGCCCUGGGUCGCAAACGGGAUUAGAUACCCCGGUAGUCCAGGGUGUAAACGCUGCAGACUUGGUGUUGGAGGCCCUUUGGGGGCAUCCAGUGCCGGAGAGAAGUUGUUAAGUCUGCUACUUGGGGAGUACGUCCGCAAGGAUGAAACUUAAAGGAAUUGGCGGGGGAGCACCGCCAACGGGAGGAGCGUGCGGUUUAAUUGGAUUCAACACCGUAAAACUCACCAGGGAAGACUGUUACAUGAAGGCCGGGCUAAAGACUCUGCCAGAUUUUCAGAGUAGAGGUGCAUGG